CAAAGUCUGAACGGAGAUACAGGGCUCUCUUUCUCUCUGUCUCUUCUCUCUCCUUCCUGUCUAUUGGACAAAUACUUGCAAUCAAUGAAAAAUGCCGUCGUCCGACAUCGUAACUGCUUCUAAAGUUCCGUUUGCGGCCACUUGUCUUCCCAAUGGCAAGAAGCAUUUGCCGCCAAAAUCCUAUGGGAAUAUGGUCACCCGCAAAAUGGCUGCGCAAACUGUCUCCAGAAACCUCAAAUUCGUGAGGAAUUCGGCUUCGGGGGAUAUGGAGACAAGUUCAGUUGGGCUUGAUGUGUCAAUUCCUAGCGAUUAUUCUGAGCUCAUUGAACAAGCCCGAAAUGCAACUGCAUUGGCUGUGAAGGAUAACAAGCAGUUGAUGUCUCUUCUUCUGCAGGAGAUUGAGUUCCCUACUUCCGGACUUGAAUCCGUACCAGGGGAUGGUGAAGGGGGAAUAGAAAUGACAGAAAGUAUGCAGUUAAUUCGAGAAUUUUGCAACCGUUUAAUAGUUCCAGAGAAAGCCAGACAGACCAGAAUAUUUUUUCCUGAGGCCAACGAAGUUAAAUUUGCAAGAGAAUCAAUAUUUGAGGGUGCUUCCUUUAAGUUGGACUAUCUGACAAAGCCAUCAUUCUUUGAGGACUUUGGUUUUGUGGAGAAAGUGAAAAUGACAGACCGUGUGAAGGCAGAAGAUGAACUCUUCCUUGCUGCCUAUCCAUAUUUUAAUGUCACUGAAAUGCUUGUGGUCGAAGAACUUUACAGAGAAGCUGUUCAGAACACUUCAAGGAAACUGAUUAUUUUCAAUGGGGAGCUUGAUCGUAUAAGAUCUGGAUAUUAUCCGCCCUUCUUCUACCCAAAGCUCGCUGCACUUUCCAAGAGCCUAUUUCCAUUUAUGGAGACUGUGUACUACAUUCACAACUUUAAGGGACGCUACGGAGGGACCCUUUUCAGGAGCUACCCAGGCCCAUGGAAAGUCUUCAGAAAAGUAAGGAACGGAUACGUCUGUUUGCAUCAGCAGGAAGCAAUGCCGUCGCUCAAGGAAGUUGCUUUAGAUAUUCUUCCAUCGGCCUGAGCGAGCGUAUAGGAUUAUACAGUACGAUUCUAAGAUGUUAUGAAGCCUUCUCAAAAUGCAAUAUUAACAAGUUAUGGAGGUAAUCUAGUAGCUUAAGGAAGAAGAAACCCAAAGGAUGCAAAUUGAAAUUCCAACUGUAGCCUUCUUCACCUCUGCUGCUUGCUCUGCCGCGAUGGAGUGUGCCAUGUGGAAGGCUCGGCCCUUUGAUAUCAAGUCCACCCGGUCAUGGUGGUGGCCCACCAACAGGCCGGGGUAGAUUUUCUGUGCCAUCAGGCCAAGGUAUAGGUGGUUUUCCUCCAUUUGGCCUAGCCGCAAGUGUGCUUUUGCCGUGCCAAGAUGUCGGUGAUUUUCCUCGCGUUUCUAAGGUGUGGGACUAUUCAUGCAGACGAAGAUCUAAGGGCAAAGAAGGGACGAGCUCACAAGUAGAAACGGAUUGUGUGAACCAAUCUAACUAAAAAUUUUAAAUUUUUUGUAUUAAGUAUCUUUUGUUGCAUA